rnacentral:lncRNA from 1 species
UGCUUGCCCCCGUAAGACGGCCUGAUGUGCACACCUGCCCACAGUCCUGUGCCCAGGUUAGGAGGUCAGGUGAGGAUGGCGCUCAGGUGAGGUUCCACAUUAACUCGUCGUUCCUAGACUUGAAAGUUUCAAUCCGGGGAAAGCCGGGGCAGAAGCAGUAAACGCCUCCUUCGUGUUGCUCCCCUGCUGCAUGGAGAUGACCCACAGAUGGUCCUCGUCUCCUGCCCACACCAGGAAGGUCUUACUGUCCUUUUGCCAGAUGCAACGGGCUUCGAGCCAGGCCAUGCCCGAGACCAGCAACAGUGGCGGCACCGGCUCGUGGAAGAGGAAGUGGCUGUCAAUGAGCUGCUGUUGCUCCUCCGCAUCCGUCCAGCUCUUAUCCGGGCCCUCCAGGUCGCGGUCCAGGCUCGAGGGCAUCCACCGCGGGUCCCAGCGGAGGCAAAAGCCACGUCCUUGUGCACGCUGUGCCCUCACCUGCAGACCAUCGUCAAGGCAAACCACACCCCAGCAUGUGUAGGGGCCAAGGAGACUCACUUCACCCGUGGAAGGUUCACUGAAAAACCAGCUCACAAAAGGUAGGUUAUCUGGAGAAGCAUGACAUGUAUGCACAGGAGCCUUCCAAAUGAAGACCCAAAGAUGCAGAGGAAGUUGUCCAUCUGUAUUCUUAGCCAAAGUCUGGACAGCCAUGUAGAAAUAGGAUUGGACAAAGGGUCUGAGCUAAUGCUAACAGAGUGGGGAAACGCGGCAAGGUCUGUUGGUCUGGAUUCUUCUUGGCCUCCUGAGCAGCAUUCCUUCCCUCUAGGUAUAAGGCAGGAUCCUCUCUGGAAUAGGCAUCUUGUAACCUACAGUCAAACAGGGUAGGCCAGUUUUUUCACAGAAUAUUUUUAGGUUUUACAGCUGGCUUUGGGGAAAAAGGGUUCUGGUGUCUAUGACUUGCCUUGAGGAAGAAGGAUCCUAGUUUCUAUAACUAGUUUUGGGGGAGAAUGGGACUGAGAGACAGGAGGGCAGGAGAAGCCCGGCAAAAACUUUUUGCUUCUGAGGCUGCUUCUGCAGCCUUCAUCUCGGGGUGUUUUCUGAGCUCCAACACAUCCAAAGGGGUGAGACCUGAAAGUUGUUCCUUCCAGACUAAGAUGUGCAAACUGAUGAAAGGGGUCGCUUCAAGCCACAGCAUCACUGUCCUAGGCCAAAGGAAUACUGUCGUUUGUUGAACACUUGCUGCAUUAGGAAUUUCCCCUACUCUCUCCUAAGGAUCAUGAACUCUCAAUAAUGGCAAAGACAUCUAGAUCUUGUUCCAUGCCAGUCAGCAUUCUAAGUACUUUAUGUGUAUUAAAUAAAUUUGAUGUCAGUAAAUUUAUGAAGGUGAGACUGUUAUCUCCCAUUGUACAAGUGAGGAAACUGAGGCACAGAGAGAUUUGGUAACCUACCCAAGGUCACAUACCCUUAAAUGGUAAAGCCAUUGUUAGAACUAAGGUGAUUUGGCACCACAGUACACAUUCUCAACCACUGUGACAUGCCGCCUCUUUUUGUUGUUGUUAAUUCAAUUUUUUAAAAACUAAGGUGCGGGCCAGGGAUGGUGGCUCAUGCCUGUAAUCCCAGCACUUCGAGAGGCCAAGGUGGGCGCAUCACUUGGCCAACCUGGCCAGCAUGGCGAAACCCCGACUCUACUAACAAUACAAAAAUUAGCUGGGCCUGGUGGCAGAUACCUAUAAUCCCAGCUACUUGGGAGGCUAAGGCAGAGAGAAUUGCU